UACGUAGGGGGCAAGCGUUGUCCGGAAUCAUUGGGCGUAAAGCGCGCGUAGGCGGCCCGGUAAGUCCGCUGUAAAAGUCCAGGGCUCAACCCUUGAAUGCCGGUUGAUACUGUCGGGCUAGAGUCCGGAAGAGGCGAGUGGAAUUCCCGGUGUAGCGGUGAAAUGCGCAGAUAUCGGGAGGAACACCAAUGGCGAAGGCAGCUCGCUGGGACGGUACUGACGCUGAGACGCGAAAGCGUGGGGAGCAAACAGG
rnacentral:rRNA from 1 species